GAUGAACGCUGGCGGCGUGCCUAAUACAUGCAAGUCGAGCGAACGGAUGAGAAGCUUGCUUUUCUGAUGUUAGCGGCGGACGGGUGAGUAACACGUGGAAAACCUACCUAUAAGACUGGGAUAACUUCGGGAAACCGUAGCUAAUACCGGAUAAUAUUUUGAACCGCAUUGUUCAAAAGUGAAAGACGGUCUUGCUGUCACUUAUAGAUGGAUCCGCGCUGCAUUAGCUAGUUGGUAAGGUAACGGCUUACCAAGGCAACGAUGCAUAGCCGACCUGAGAGGGUGAUCGGCCACACUGGAACUGAGACACGGCCCAGACUCCUACGGGAGGCAGCAGUAGGGAAUCUUCCGCAAUGGGCGAAAGCCUGACGGAGCAACGCCGCGUGAGUGAUGAAGGUCUUCGGAUCGUAAAACUCUGUUAUUAGGGAAGAACAUGUGUGUAAGUAACUGUGCGCAUCUUGACGGUACCUAAUCAGAAAGCCACGGCUAACUACGUG
rnacentral:rRNA from 1 species